AACGAACGCUGGCGGCAUGCCUAACACAUGCAAGUCGAACGAGACCUUCGGGUCUAGUGGCGCACGGGUGCGUAACGCGUGGGAACCUGCCCUUAGGUUCGGAAUAACUCCCCGAAAGGGGUGCUAAUACCGGAUAAUGUCUUCGGACCAAAGAUUUAUCGCCUUUGGAUGGGCCCGCGUUGGAUUAGCUCGUUGGUAGGGUAAAAGCCUACCAAGGCGACGAUCCAUAGCUGGUCUGAGAGGAUGAUCAGCCACACUGGGACUGAGACACGGCCCAGACUCCUACGGGAGGCAGCAGUGGGGAAUAUUGGACAAUGGGCGAAAGCCUGAUCCAGAAAUGCCGGGUGAGUGAUGAAGGCCUUAGGGUUGUAAAGCUCUUUUACCCGGGAUGAUAAUGACAGUACCGGGAGAAUAAGCUCCGGCUAACUCCGUG
rnacentral:rRNA from 1 species